AUCGUUUAUUUGAUAGUACCUUACUACUUGGAUAACCGUGGUAAUUCUAGAGCUAAUACAUGCUGAAAACCCCGACUUCGGAAGGGGUGUAUUUAUUAGAUAAAAAACCAACGCCCUUCGGGGCUUCUUGGUGAUUCAUAAUAACUUUACGGAUCGCAUGGCCUUGCGCCGGCGACGGUUCAUUCAAAUUUCUGCCCUAUCAACUUUCGAUGGUAAGGUAUUGGCUUACCAUGGUUUCAACGGGUAACGGGGAAUUAGGGUUCGAUUCCGGAGAGGGAGCCUGAGAAACGGCUACCACAUCCAAGGAAGGCAGCAGGCGCGCAAAUUACCCAAUCCCGACACGGGGAGGUAGUGACAAUAAAUACUGAUACAGGGCUCUUUUGGGUCUUGUAAUUGGAAUGAGUACAAUUUAAACCUCUUAACGAGGAACAAUUGGAGGGCAAGUCUGGUGCCAGCAGCCGCGGUAAUUCCAGCUCCAAUAGCGUAUAUUAAAGUUGUUGCAGUUAAAAAGCUCGUAGUUGAAACUUGGGUCUGGCUGGCAGGUCCGCCUCACCGCGUGUACUUGUCCGGCCGGGCCUUCCUUCUGGAGAACCUCAUGCCCUUCACUGGGCGUGUUGGGGACCAGGACUUUUACUUUGAAAAAAUUAGAGUGUUCAAAGCAGGCCUUUGCUCGAAUACGUUAGCAUGGAAUAAUAGAAUAGGACGUGCGUUCCUAUUUUGUUGGUUUCUAGGAACGCCGUAAUGAUUAAUAGGGACAGUCGGGGGCAUCAGUAUUCAAUUGUCAGAGGUGAAAUUCUUGGAUUUAUUGAAGACUAACUACUGCGAAAGCAUUUGCCAAGGAUGUUUUCAUUAAUCAGUGAACGAAAGUUAGGGGAUCGAAGACGAUCAGAUACCGUCGUAGUCUUAACCGUAAACUAUGCCGACUAGGGAUCGGGCGAUGUUCUUUUUCUGACUCGCU
rnacentral:rRNA from 1 species